UGGGGAAUAUUGGACAAUGGGCGCAAGCCUGAUCCAGCCAUGCCGCGUGAGUGAUGAAGGCCCUAGGGUUGUAAAGCUCAUUCACCGGUGAAGAUAAUGACGGUAACCGGAGAAGAAGCCCCGGCUAACUUCGUGCCAGCAGCCGCGGUAAUACGAAGGGGGCUAGCGUUGUUCGGAUUUACUGGGCGUAAAGCGCACGUAGGCGGACUUUUAAGUCAGGGGUGAAAUCCCGGGGCUCAACCCCGGAACUGCCUUUGAUACUGGAAGUCUUGAGUAUGGUAGAGGUGAGUGGAAUUCCGAGUGUAGAGGUGAAAUUCGUAGAUAUUCGGAGGAACACCAGUGGCGAAGGCGGCUCACUGGACCAUUACUGACGCUGAGGUGCGAAAGCGUGGGGAGCAAACAGG
rnacentral:rRNA from 1 species